rnacentral:rRNA from 1 species
ACGGAGGGAGCAAGCGUUGUCCGGAAUCACUGGGCGUAAAGGGCUCGUAGGCGGGGAAUUAAGUCUGGGAGUAAAUCUGCCGGCUCAACUGGCAGGUCAUCCCGGAUACUGGUUCUCUUGAGGACAGGAGGGGAAAGGGGAAUUCCUGGUGUAGCGGUGAAAUGCGUAGAUAUCAGGAGGAACACCCGUGGCGAAGGCGCCUUUCUGGCCUGUUCCUGACGCUGAGGAGCGAAAGCCAGGGGAGCGAACGG